rnacentral:rRNA from 1 species
GAUGAACGCUGACAGAAUGCUUAACACAUGCAAGUCUUUGGCGAAGCUGUGCUUGCACAGCCUAGCCAAGGCGGACGGGUGAGUAACGCGUAAGGAACUUGCCCUGCAGUCAGGGAUAACAGACGGAAACGACUGAUAAGACCUGGUAAAGUCAGGCGGACUCAUGUCCAGCCUGAUGAAAAGAGAUGCUGCAGGAGAGCCUUGCGUCCUAUUAGCUUGUUGGUGGGGUAACGGCCCACCAAGGCGAUGAUAGGUAGCCGGCCUGAGAGGGUGGACGGCCACAAGGGGACGGAGAUACGGCCAUUACUCCUACGGGAGGCAGCAGGGGGGAAUAUUGGACGAUGGGGGCAACCCUGAUCCAGCAAUUCUGUGUGCACGAUGAAGGUUUUCGGAUUGUAAAGUGCUUUCAGCAGGGAAGAAAAAAUGACGGUACCUGCAGAAGAAGCGACGGCUAAAUACGUG